UACGUAGGGGGCAAGCGUUGUCCGGAUUUAUUGGGCGUAAAGAGCGUGUAGGCGGCCAGGUAGGUCCGCUGUGAAAACUCGAGGCUCAACCUCGAGAUGUCGGCGGAAACCAUCUGGCUAGAGUCCGGAAGAGGAGAGUGGAAUUCCUGGUGUAGCGGUGAAAUGCGCAGAUAUCAGGAGGAACACCAAUGGCGAAGGCAGCACUCUGGUACGUGACUGACGCUGAGACGCGAAAGCGUGGGGAGCGAACAGG
rnacentral:rRNA from 1 species